UUUAUCAAAAACAUUACCUCCAGUACCAAAUUGGAAGGCUAAUCCUGCCCGGUGGCCCCCCGGGGCUAAACGGCCGCAGUAUACCUGACUGUGCAAAGGUAGCAUUACUCCUUGCCUUUUAAUUGAUGGCCUGCAUGAAUGGAUCUACGAGGCUUGGACUUUAUCCCCUCUAUGCCCCGAAAUUAAUAUCUAGGUGAAAACGCCUAGAUACACCUGAAAGACAAAAAGACCCUAUUGAGCUUUACUAGACGGUAUUCUUAUUGUACCUACCAGUUUAGUUGGGGCAACUAUAGAUCAACCUAGCAUCACUGCUUCCCUCAGACCCUAAGUCACUUUCACGACCCUCCAGGAUCAUAAGAAAUAGUUACCAUAGGGGUAACAGGCUAAUUUCUUUUAAGAGCACAAAUUGACAAAGAAGUUUGGCACCUCGAUGUUGGCUCAGGGAUUCCUCUUGGUAGCAGAAGCCAUCAGGUAGGAUUGUUCAUCCUUUAAAACCCUACGUGAUCUGAGUUC
rnacentral:rRNA from 1 species